CGUUCUUUCAUACUUUCCCUCUCCUCAAUCACAAACAUUUUCUCUCUCCUCAUUCUCUCCAUCUCCUUCUUCUCUCUCCUCAUUCACAGACAUCUUAUCUCUCUCGAGCUUCGUCGCGACUUCUUCGUCAAUUUCUCUCAAUUUCAAGGUUCAAUUUCUCUCUCCUCCAUUAGCCAUGCUGCCAAAAACUAAGGGAGUUACUUCGGUUGGAGCAACUAGGUAUUCAUGUGUGCAUGGUGUCAUAUCAUCGCAAGCAUAGAGCUUACUGAUCUGAUUGGCAAUAACAGUGGGUGAGUGAGUCAUUGCGAUGUCUAGCUGGUGCAGCUACAGUUUGGCCGAGAUAAGGAGUAAUUAUCUUCUAAGGAUGAGAAAUACGGAAGAGAAUGAUGGUUCCUUCUACUCCCUGGAUGUCCAUGAUGACACCUCCACAAGAAAUUUCGGAGUGAGACAUGUUGGUGUUUGGGACGUUUAUAUUAUUAUCACGGUGUAUGGUUGGAUUCAUUGUUUUGUGAGGAACUUAUGUUGUAUUUUACUUUUGUAUUCUCCCAUUUGGGGCAUUUUAUAUUGUAUUUCUAUUAAGUAUUA